UACAGAGGGGGCAAGCGUUGUUCGGAAUUACUGGGCGUAAAGGGCGCGUAGGCGGCCGCCUAAGUCAGACGUGAAAUCCCUCGGCUCAACCGGGGAACUGCGUCUGAUACUGGGUGGCUUGAAUUCGGGAGAGGGAUGCGGAAUUCCAGGUGUAGCGGUGAAAUGCGUAGAUAUCUGGAGGAACACCGGUGGCGAAGGCGGAUCUCUGGGCCUGUCCUGACGCUGAGGCGCGAAAGCUAGGGGAGCGAACAGG
rnacentral:rRNA from 1 species